UCAUCUCCUUCACCAAGCUGGGAGCCUCCUGAGGGUAAAAACAAUUCAUUUCUGCUAUGAAUUCAUUCCUCAGGAGCCAGCAUAAUAGCUGCCACAUACCAGGUGCUGAUCAGAAACCCACAAAUAUCUGCCAGGCUGGCAACGGACCCUAAAGAGAGGAUCCCUGGAGCCAGAGGCAAGGAAAUCUACAGCACUGUCCCAUCCCUUCUUUCAGCUCAUCCUGAUUGAUGCAACCUCACAGAUUUGGGAUCUCUGCAAAGCCUUCAGUAGGUUCCCCUGAACCUUGGUUAGCAGGACUAAGGAAGAAAUAUGAGUUUGCUUAGGAUCCAUGGUGUGCCAGGAGCACAUGAGCUCCAUAAUAUGGAGAGGGAUGUUUGUCUUGUUCACUCUUGUAUCCCCAGCACUGAGAAUAAUAAUGACAUAAAUAGGUGUUCAACACAUAUCUAUAGAACAAGCACAUGAAUUAUAGAGAGAAAAUGAAUCACGCCUGGGUUCUUCCAUCAUGGCCAUUUCCAAUCCUCUUCUUAUAAGCCAAAGUUCUUUUUCGUAUGAAUGCCUCCAGGGCUUCCCUCUUCAUCCUUCCACCAACACACACAAAGCACUUAAUCCAUGCUUAAUCCUAGUACAGGUCCUUAGUGACACAUACACUAAUCUGCUUUUCGCCACCUAGUGCCAGAUUUGUAAAUUGACUCCUGCUUAGCCUUCCUUUCCAGAGACAUGGAAGGUUACCCCUCUUCACUCUGUGGAGUUAGGGGACCUGGGAAAACAUCUUUCCCUAUCCUCCUCUUUUGAGGGAAAACAAUUAUUAAUGCAUCACAAAAGAAAAGUAUAUAUUCUCACCUCAGAUGUGUUAUCAAAGGAAAUGAUAAGUUAUUUUCCUAGUGUUGAGCUUUAUAUAUAAGGUAGAUUUGGGGACCAGACAAGCUGGUAUGAAUCCCACCGCUGCCCAUGGUAGGUGUGAGAACUGGCAGGUUACUUUUAUAUUCUUAGUUUCAGUUCUUUCCCCCCUAACAUGGAUGAAAAUAAUAGCAAUGCCUCUCAAGGCAAUGUGUAAAACAAAUCCAUGCUAAAUAUUCAUUCGUUUAUUUAUUUCACAAAUAUUUAGCAAGCUCCUUAGAUGUCCCAAGCAUUAUUCCGUUAUAGCCUCUUGGAUACAGCAAUUGACAAGGCAGAUGGCAAAUCUCUGUCCUUAUUUUGCUUAUCAGUUAGUGUUAAAUAAAUAUUAGCCAUCAUUAUUAUUGAUAUGCUAUACUAAACAUGAACACUCUAGAACUUUUUAUCUAGACUAAAUCUUUUCUUCCCCUGUAAUUGAUGUCAGUGAGUCAUUUGUAGUUACUGCACAACUACAGAGUACAGAGCCCUGGCUUGGGUCUAUAUGGAGGAGGAGGGAGGAGGAUAGACUGAAGACAUGGCCUCUGCCUUCAGGAGUUUACAGUGCACACGGAAAGACUAGCAAGGAUGAAAGGACUUUUGAAUUUAAGAAACAUGCAUGAAUUAAACAUACCACUCUUUUUUGCUUGUCCUUAGUUACCUCUGAGUAAUAAGAACAUGAGUGGAUUUUCAUCACUGUCUGUUGUAAUCUUUCCAGAAAAGCCAUUGAACCGUUCUGAAGGGUUCAGGAAAAGAAAACUGAUGACUUUAUCCGAACUCCUUGGGAAAGAAUGGAGUUUAAUAAGUAAAUGGAUGCAUGUUUCUUAAACUGGCAAGAAUCCUCAUCAAGUGUCCUGACAAGGCAACAAGCAGAUGAAUGUCAAUGUUAUGUAUCUGAUACAUUACCCACCCAUGUAACUGUGAUUUUAUAGAUUUUUAGCCUCUGAAGGAGAUUUCAAUUACCCUCUUACUCAAAUCUUUACCUUUACAGAGAAGGAAAUACAUGCAGAGGGGAAAAGUGAUUUCACCCGAGGUUGUGCAGCUAGCGUGUGGACUGCCUGGACCAAAGCCUCAGUGUCCCCAUUGCCAGCACAGUGUUUUUUCUAGAACCUCUUGAAGCCUAAAGCCUCAGUGACCCCAUUCUCAGUCGAGUGUUCUUUCUAGAACCUCUUGAGGCCUCCUUCUGUCUAACUUUGAGUGAAAACCCUUAGAGCUCAAUGGUCUUUUUACCAAAUUGCUUGCUCUGAGCUCAGGCUAGCGGCAUGUUGUGGAGGAAUCUGAGUAGGAGCUUCUUGAUAAAGAGGUCCUGGCAGUGAGAUUACACACAUUUCUAGUUAUGGAAAAAAAAAAGGGGGCUUUGCAGGUGCUUUUCCUCAUGCUGUUCUCUUCUCAAGGGGUUCAGAUAAACCUGCCGGUUUGCUUCUCCCAGACCCCUCAAACUGGUUCCACAGUUGUUUUUCGGACAGACUAGAAUGAACAGUGUAAUCUCGUAUUCUUAGUCCUGAGAGAGAGUUGAGAACAAGCAAGAAAGGGUGGUGUGUUGAAUAUAUCCAUGUUUCUUAAAUUCAAGAGUCCUUUUGGUUCUUGCAAAAGACCUCUGUCACUGUGGAGGAGACAGUACUCCAAGUCCCCCCAGUAUAGACUAAAUUCCGGUCUUCGAUGCCUUUUGCUUCUGAAAGGAUCCAGAUUCGCUUGGGAAAGCUGGAGAGAGUUUAAAAGGAGGUGACACCUAGUGGUCACUGUGACAAACAGCAGCCUACAGCAAAGAAGGCUGGUUGCUAAGGGUAGCAGCUGCAGCCAUUUAUCUCCACUCUGACUAAAUGGCCGGAAGAAUCAUAGAAUGUUUAUAUUGGGAGCAACCUCCAGAGAUUUUCUGUCAAGACAUCUGCCUCCAGCUAGCACGAAUAAUAUGUCUUACGCUUAUAGUGUUGUAUAAAACACUUUUACAAAUAUUAUCACGUUUAAUUCUCACAUCAGCCCUGUGAAUUUUGUAACAUCAUUAUCUCUUUUUUAAAGAUGAGGAGAUGAUCAGUCAUAAUUUAGGCUUCUUGAGCAAAAUCACUCAGCUAGUGAGCCAUGAAGUAGGAGCUAGGAGCCAGGCCCUCAGCCCUCACCUUCCCACUUGCGAUCAACUGUUUACUGACUCUAGGAAAAGACAUGGAAAUGUUGAGACUUAAAAGAGAUUGGUUUGUCACCAGGCUUGACCCCAACCCUUGUACAAAGAUUGGCUUAGUGUUUGCAGCCAAUUUUACAUGAAUAUUUUGAGUCAGGAGAGAGUUUCUUCCACCUGCAAAUUCAUCUCUAAAUUCCAUCUCUGUAAAUGAGAAUAACAAACCUUCUCGGUGGGAAGAAAUGAAGUCGGCUUGAUAUGGACUGGCUGCAGGGAGGAGGGGCUUGCUGGGUCCCUGUGGCAGUGAACGAUGGGGUCAUCCAGGAAUACGGAAGAGGCUGCUGGUUGUGUCAGAAGAGUCCUUGUAAGAGGAAAUUAAGCCGGAUAUAACCCUGAUAUGAAAUCGCUGGGCACAUCUCAGGACCCUGGCUUAAAUAUUCAAUAGUCUUCAGGGAGAAAAUGAAUUAAUGAGUAGGGUCAUCUGACAGUAGAAUUUUUUAAAAAGUGUUUGAAAAGUAAAAAUGUGUUCUACCUUCUACCUCAUCCACUCACUCAGCCACUCCCUCUCUACAGAGCCUUUAAUUUCUUACAGAAUUUCUCAGGUAUUAUUGCCUCACCUACUCCUACCCUAACCCAAGCUGCCUGUCAUCCCUCCCUGCUACAUCUCUUGGUACUUGGACAUUCAAGUACGGCAGCCUUUAGCCGCUUGCACAAUCACAGGACAGCCUCCGAAAGAGAAGCAAUCUUCUGUGGUUUGGUUGUUUUAGAAAGAAGGCAUUGUUGAUGGAGGUCUUGACUUGUGGGCUGACAUAGCAAACGGAGGAUAGGUUUGCCUUUUCUGGAUGUUACUUGUUUAAAAAAUAUAUUUAUAAGAGAAAGCCCUCUCUAUGUUCCUAAGGGAUAAGGCUGGACAGGAAGUUUUGAGAGAUUCAAGCCAGAUGGGGGUGCAAACCUCUCAGGACCAACACAUCAUCUUUUCUGAGCUCUCUGCUGUGGAUGUGCUGAGGUCCUCCACAUGAAGGUCAGGAAGGGAUAUUUCUCCUUUCAGCAAGAGGCUGCUGGUUGUGCCAGAUGAGUCCUUAGGAGGAAAUCAAGCCAGAUGUAACCUCCGCAAGGUAUUUUCUCUUAUCAUUCCCUAACAAGAAAAAAGAAAUCCAAGAGACAGAACUAGACUGUAUGGUAGUUUCUGUCAGUAUUGAGGUUACGAGGUACACCAACUACAAUAUGCAGUAUAUUCUCAACCUCAUUUUCCUAUGCCCCAGCCUGCUUAUAACACCAUGGGAGCCGGUGGACAACCCAACCACUGUGACGCCCAACCCUAACCCACAGCCUAGGUGCAAAGGCUUACGUAGGAUGCCUAGUGCCUUUCUCAUGGGGGAAUUUCAAUCAAUUCCCUGCACUUCCUAAUUCCCAGUUACUUCCUUUUCUUCUUAGAGUUCAGGAAGUGUAAGUCUCCACGGGCACAAGUCUCCACUGUCUAAGCAGACAGACUGAUGUGAGAGAUCGAAUGGGUUAAUGGAAGGCCAACAUGUAUCUUAAUAUCUUUAUUUGUGCUGGCCUUACCUGUUCAUUAGUCUGAAGUACCCCAGAGUAAUUACAGAGUCCCCUCAUCUGCGAAAUCUCUCUAUUGCACUUAGGCUAGAAGUGUUCAGAGCUGGUUCACAGACAGCGAUGUUGGUAGGCUGACUAGUCCCUUAGAUUUUGAGACUCCCAGCUCAGGUGUCUGAUGCUUUACUAAUAAUAACAUCAAGGGAACCUCCAAGGGUACUGACAAUAAUAAUAAUGUCACAUACUCAUUCAGCUGAAGACUUUUUGAAAGAAUUUACCCUGACAUCAUUCUAGGUACUUGGGAUUCAUCAGUGAACAAAAAGGUUAACAUUUAGCUCACAAAAGCUUUUGCCUAAACUUACCUUAUUGAAGUCUUGCAAGAAUCCUAAGAGUGCUGAGGUCUAAACUUUCUUUUACAGAAGGAUAAACUUAUUUGUCCUGCUCCUCAUAUCAUAAAGCACUCCUCCCCAUCUCCAGGUCAAACUUCUGACAAACCUAAUCAUAAUGUUUUUCUUGAUUUUCUCUGCCAACUAUUUAUGUUUACACUUUGAGUUUUUUUCUACUGUUGGCAGCUUGGUGUCAUGGAAAGAAAAAAGAAUCUCGAAUGAACCUGAGCUCAACUUCAUUCUCCCCCACUCAUUAGACAGUAAACUUUAGUCAAGUCUCUUUAUUCCAAUUUUCUCAUAAGUAAAAUGUUAUAAUAAGGGUAAAAUAAGAACUCUGUGAGACCACACUUAGGGAGAUGCUGUGUUACUGGUUUUGUGUGUUACACAGAUGUGACAUAGAGAUCCCAUGAGCUUAGCAGCAAAAUCUAUCCAGUGGAAUUCUUUCUGGGGUACAAACAUAUAAGAAUAAUACAUUCUAAGCUCAGUUAUUGAAUAAAAUAUCAUAUUAGUCUGUUCUCA